rnacentral:rRNA from 1 species
UACGUAGGGUGCAAGCGUUGUCCGGAAUUAUUGGGCGUAAAGAGCUCGUAGGCGGUCUGUCACGUCGGACGUGAAAAUCCAGGGCUCAACCCUGGACCUGCGUUCGAUACGGGCAGACUAGAGUUCGGUAGGGGAGACUGGAAUUCCCGGUGUAGCGGUGAAAUGUGUAGAGAUCGGGAGGAACACCGGUGGCGAAGGCGGGUCUCUGGGCAAUUCCUGACGCUGAGGCGCGAAAGCGUGGGGAGCAAACGGG